UAUAAAUCUUUGCGUUCUGAUAAGAAUGAAACAUACAUCUUUUGAAGCCUUAAAUUCAAUAAACUCAAGCAUUUAAACUCAUAAAGUAAACUGUUACAUAUUGAUCGUUGAUUAUGAAAAUUGCAUCUAUCCUGGAUGGUCACUACCCUAGGUAGCAAUAUGAUGCAGCUAAGUCAAAGUAAAUAAUAUUAAUUUAAUGUUACUUUCUAUAAAUUUAGCUAAGAUCACAUGGUGGAUCAAAACAUUACUGUCAGCAUUUCCUGUUUAGUUUCAAAAUCAUUGUCUCAGUGGAACAUUGACUUUAAUGUGUAAAUGUAAAACAAAUGUAUUAAAAAAUGCUUUUUGGCUUCAGGCCAUGUGGAAAGACAGCAUGUCAGCAUGCUGAAAUCAUGUGUGGAAUAAAUCUGCUUUUGUUAUUGUUAUUACUAUUAAUAUUUUUUCAAUCUGUAAUAAGCAUAGACAAGUCUUGUAAUGUAAUAUGACAUUACAUCAAAUUCUGUAUUUUCUUUUCAUGCAAAAUCUGUGUAAAGCAGCUGAAAAGAUGUCUGAAUUUUACUGUAUGAAGGUACAUACAUCAUGCAAAUCUAAAUGCUUUUUAACACCAAGCAUUGUCAUUUUAAGUAAAAGCAAAAGUUUAUAGUUAAACCAUAGUGCUUUGUUUCAUUAACUAGAACCAUAUAUAUUACCUUUAUGCUUUCUACAUAAAAGUUUUGGAUAAUCAAAAUGUUGGUUUACCCACUCAGAUGCAUUUAAUGCCUCAACAAAUCUUGGACAGGGUGAGUAAAACAGAAUUUUUACCUCUGGGUCGGGUAAUACUUUUUUGACCAUAUUACCUCGAAAAUAUUUUUAAAAAAGUCUCUUUGAUCAAAACCAAAGUUAAUAUACCAAUUUAAUUCAACGUCAGUGAAGUAGUAGGCUUGAUAUGCUCAAAACAAGUUCUGAUGAUUGGCUGUGGCGAGGCAUCGAGAAAGUCAAGAGUUUGAAAAAUUCAAAAACUAGUAUCAAAGUCAAGUUACUGUUAUUGAUAGAGAAUAUUUUUUUUAUGAUUACAUUCAUUUUUUUGGUUAACUUGUAUCAAUAAAACACUUCAUCAGACAAUUGUAUUUAUUUAAUAAAAAAUAAUGAGUCAUGUUUAACUCAUUAAUGGACAGUAGCUAGUCAUGUUUUAAAAGAGGCCACUCAACUGAGCUUCUAAGUCAUCUGUACUCAUUUAGCUGCAUCUCUCUUUUUUGGCACAGUUAUCCAACUAAUUGACCUAUCAAACCUCUUGACAAAGAGUGUCCCAGGACCUGCACUAGUUCAAGUCUGAACUCUCAGCUGGAUGUUCUGAUAUUUGCUGCUCACAUCUCUGACUCCUGGACAGAAAUAUCUUAUUGGAUGUUGCAGGACCAUCAACUCAAACUUGCCAAGACAGAACUGCUCAUGUUUUCUGCCAACCCAACCUUAGUGUUACCGUUGCCUAGAUCCUGCAGAUUUGCCCUGUACAACAUUAGGAACUUCAGACCCUUCUAUGGGUCAUGCUACAGAACUCUUUGUCCAAGCUCUCGUUCUCUCCAGACUUAUCUAUUGUACUUCUCUCUUUGCAGAACUUCCAGCAUGUACUAUCAAACGUCUGCUAAAAACCUAGCAAGUGGCACUGUGGUGUGUUACAUCACAUUCCAAAGAGGCACAGAUUCACUUUUACAGACCUUUAAGAUGACUGUUUGAUGCUGUUGCAAUAAACUGUCCAACUCUG